rnacentral:rRNA from 1 species
CAGCCGCCGCGGUAAUACGUAGGUCCCGAGCGUUGUCCGGAUUUAUUGGGCGUAAAGGGAGCGCAGGCGGUUUAGUAAGUCUGAAGUUAAAGGCAUUGGCUCAACCAAUGCAUGCUUUGGAAACUGUUAGACUUGAGUGCAGAAGGGGAGAGUGGAAUUCCAUGUGUAGCGGUGAAAUGCGUAGAUAUAUGGAGGAACACCGGUGGCGAAAGCGGCUCUCUGGUCUGUCACUGACGCUGAGGCUCGAAAGCGUGGGUAGCGAACAGGAUUAGAUACCCCCGUAGUCCCUGUCUCUUAUACC